rnacentral:tRNA from 1 species
GGGCGCUUAGCUCAGCGGUAGAGCACUCGCCUUACAAGCGAGGGGUCACUGGUUCGAACCCAGUAGCGCCCAC